UACGUAGGUGGCAAGCGUUGUCCGGAAUUAUUGGGCGUAAAGCGCGCGCAGGUGGUUCCUUAAGUCUGAUGUGAAAGCCCACGGCUCAACCGUGGAGGGUCAUUGGAAACUGGGGAACUUGAGUGCAGAAGAGGAAAGUGGAAUUCCAAGUGUAGCGGUGAAAUGCGUAGAGAUUUGGAGGAACACCAGUGGCGAAGGCGACUUUCUGGUCUGUAACUGACACUGAGGCGCGAAAGCGUGGGGAGCAAACAGGAUUAGAUACCCCCGUAGUCC
rnacentral:rRNA from 1 species